CCUUAUGGAGAACAGUCCAGAACCAAAAUAAGAAAACUAACCACAGAUGACAUCCUUGUGGCGUCAGCAGAGUGUCCCAGCGAUGAUGAGGACAUUGACCCCUGUGAGCCGAGCUCAGGUGGGUUAGCCAACCCAACCCGAGCAGGCGGCAGAGAGCCAUACCCAGGCUCAGCAGAAGUGAUCCGGGAGUCCAGCAGCACCACGGGUAUGGUCGUUGGGAUAGUAGCUGCUGCCGCCCUGUGCAUCCUUAUCCUCCUCUAUGCCAUGUACAAGUACAGAAACCGGGAUGAAGGCUCAUACCAUGUGGAUGAGAGUCGAAACUACAUCAGUAACUCAGCACAGUCCAAUGGGGCUGUCGUAAAGGAGAAACAACCCAGCAGUGCGAAAAGCUCCAACAAAAAUAAGAAAAACAAGGAUAAAGAGUAUUAUGUCUGAUCCCAAGAUCUUAAAUGGACACUUGUAUAGAAAUAGUCUUCAUUUUAUCUGAGACAUAAUAUAAACUUAUUUACUUUCCUUUUUAUGAAGCACAUACAAAAGAAGACAGGGAAUGCAAUCAGGAAGGAAAGACUUUUUAAAAAAUAAAAAGUAUCUCAUGCUCUUGUUUCUCAAAAAAGAAAAAC
rnacentral:sRNA from 1 species